UGGGGAAUAUUGCACAAUGGCGCAAGCCUGAUGCAGCCAUGCCGCGUGUAUGAAGAAGGCCUUCGGGUUGUAAAGUACUUUCAGCGGGGAGGAAGGGAGUAAAGUUAAUACCUUUGCUCAUUGACGUUACCCGCAGAAGAAGCACCGGCUAACUCCGUGCCAGCAGCCGCGGUAAUACGGAGGGUGCAAGCGUUAAUCGGAAUUACUGGGCGUAAAGCGCACGCAGGCGGUUUGUUAAGUCAGAUGUGAAAUCCCCGGGCUCAACCUGGGAACUGCAUCUGAUACUGGCAAGCUUGAGUCUCGUAGAGGGGGGUAGAAUUCCAGGUGUAGCGGUGAAAUGCGUAGAGAUCUGGAGGAAUACCGGUGGCGAAGGCGGCCCCCUGGACGAAGACUGACGCUCAGGUGCGAAAGCGUGGGGAGCAAACAGG
rnacentral:rRNA from 2 species